UACGUAGGGUGCGAGCGUUAAUCGGAAUUACUGGGCGUAAAGCGUGCGCAGGCGGUUGUGCAAGACAGAUGUGAAAUCCCCGGGCUUAACCUGGGAAUGGCAUUUGUGACUGCACGGCUAGAGUGUGUCAGAGGGGGGUAGAAUUCCACGUGUAGCAGUGAAAUGCGUAGAUAUGUGGAGGAAUACCGAUGGCGAAAGGCAGCCC
rnacentral:rRNA from 1 species